GAAAUGCGAUAAGUAAUGUGAAUUGCAGAAUUCAGUGAAUCAUCGAAUCUUUGAACGCACCUUGCGCUCCUUGGCAUUCCGAGGAGCAUGCCUGUUUGAGUGUCGUUGACUUCUCAAACCCCCAACCUUCUGCGGACCCAUCGGACGGACGCGUCAGGUUGUGGAUUUGGAUCGGUGGAGGAUGCAUUUGCUGCCCCCAGGUCAAAAUGGAGGUCAUGCUUCUCUGAAAUGCAUUGGCAAUUGUGGCUGUGGUUCGCAAACCUGUUGCCGGUAUGAUACGCAUACGUCUUACCUGCUUCUAACCACACGCCAGCCGGACGGAGGAUCGUCUCACUAUCUGACCUCAAAUCAGGCAGGACUACCCGCUGAACUUAA
rnacentral:misc_RNA from 1 species